rnacentral:lncRNA from 1 species
GAAUUACUAGACAUAACACGCUCGCUUCGCUCGCCUUCAUUCUUUCAAAAUUCCCGCCAUUAUCUCAGUCGACCAAUCAACAACCGAAUAAAAUAGUCACAGAAGUGACGUAAAACGACACAACAUCCGGCCAUCAACUUUUUAGAAGAGGAUUAAUGUUAGUUUUGUGUGGUGAGUGACAAGUGCAAUUUAAAAAUGAAGCGAGGUCCAUAUAAAUUAUACUUGAGUUCGGACGGUAACGGCAUUAUGCCUCGGUCAACAUUUUAUGAUAAAUUGAAAAAAUAUCGUCUUGAUGCUGUAAAUGAAAACGAACAUAAUCUGGAAUCUCAAAAGUUUCGGAUGAUGACAGUCAAUUACUUAUGGAAGCUGAGAAUGACAAUUUAAUAUCUCCAGCCUAUCAGAGAAGUCAAAACCUGAUGAAUAUGGAACAAAAUAUAUUUUUUCUGACAGUGAAGACGACGAAGAUAUUGAAGAACGAGAGCAAUGGUUUGACGCUGAAGAUUUACCUCAAGUAGGAAAUGGAUGUUCAGAUGAGAAAGACAGUGAUACUUUUUCCAACCGUCAUGAAACUGAUGAUUGUUAUAAUCAACCACUCUGUCAAUGUACAUCAGUUACUCGUGGAGAAGCAUUGAUGAUGACACUCUCGCUUGGUGCUCAGGAGUCCUUAACGUGGAAAACUAUAACUAGUAUUUUAUCAAUGAUUAAUACAUUAUUUGGAGGUAAUGUGGUUCCAGCAUCCAAAUAUAAAUUAUUUAAAACCUUAGAAUUGAAGAACAGUAGCUUCUCACGACACAUGUAUUGUAAUGAGUGUUUCUUCUACUUUGGAGUUCAGUCUACUUCUAGCGCUGACGAUUUUGUUUGUCCGAAUUGCGAUAAAAAUUUCAAUCCAUCAAAUGUACCUUUUUUCUAACGCUGGAUUUUGCUAAUCAAUUAAAACAUAUUUUUGAAAAUUCAGAAAUUCAAGAAGCGUUAUUAAAACGCAUCGAAUGUGAAGAUAAUGAAGAAGGAAAUGAGUUGAAAGAUAUAAACGAUGGAAAAGUUUAUAAGAAAUUAUUGAGUUCUGAAUCGGAAAAUCUUCUGUGUAAUAAAUUUAAUUUUUCUUACACUUUCAACACGGACGGCUGCCAAUUAGCAAAGUCGAGUAAGCUUUCAAUUUGGCCAAUUUAUAUAACUAUCAAUGAAUUGCCGCCAAAAUUAAGAUCAAAAAUCUCAUUAUGACUGGUAUUUGGGUAGAUAAAGUAGAGCCAGACAUGAAUCUAUUUUUGAAACCGUUUGUUGACGAAGCAAAUGAUCUAUCUAAGACUGGUUUGCAGUGGAAAUUGGGAGAGCAAACUAUUACAAGUAAAUUUAUCCCAUUGUGUGCAUGUUUUGAUUCAGUUGCGCGGUGUAAAGUAUUGAAUAUGAAACAAUACAAUGGCAAAUAUGGAUGCACGUUUUGUGAGCAUCCUACAGAAAGCGUCAAUGGCUAUCGGAAAUUCCCAAUAUCAGUGGAUGUACCAGUAGAUAGAACUGAUGAGUCUAUAAAAAUCAAAUGGUAUUAGCAAGUACAAAUAAAUAUGAAGAAGAUGUUAAAGGUGUGUGGGGUCCAUCGCAAUUAAUGAACCUGAAUUACUUCGACUUAGUUGACGGAAUGUCUCCUGAUUAUUUACAUUCAAUUUUACUUGGAACGAUUAAGCAACAUACAGAAUUAUUGUUUUCUUCGUUCGGGAAAGAAUAUUACAUAGGAAAUCCUAAUCAUGUGGAAAUAAUUAAUGAAAUACUAUUGAAAUUUAAACAUCCGUCAUCAAUAACACGUUCGCCUCGAGACAUCAAUGAGAGAAAUAUGUGGAAAGCUACUGAGUGGCGUUCGUGGUUGCUUUUCUAUUCAUUACCAUGUUUAAAUCAAAUACUUCCACAGAAGUACUUAGAUCACUUAGCGUUACUAGUAGAGGCUGUGACAAUCCUGUUAGAGGAAAAAUAACAAGUGAAAUGCUGGAAAUUGCAAAUGAACUUCUCAUCCGAUAUGUUUGUUACUAUCAAGAGUAUUUUGGAAAAGAACAUAUGACAUACAACAUACAUUUACUUUUACACAUGGUAAAAAGUGUUAUGAACUUAGGUCCUUUAUCGGCACACAAUACUUUUUGUUUUGAAAAUGAAAAUCACUUCGUUCUGAAAAUGAAAAAGUCCGACUCAUGUAGGUCUGCAAAUUACGAGAAAGUAUUUCUUCCACAAGUCACUUCCUCUUCUGAAGCAACGUUUUAAACUUAGUGAGGCAUUUGAAAAAUUUUGCGAGAGAAAUCUAUCAGGUCGACUAAAAAAUACAUUGACAGUUGGUGAUUGCGUUUUAGUUGGAAAGGGUAGUAAAUACAAUUUAAGUGUGGUAGAAAAGCAAGCAAUUGAUUUUACUUCAGAUGAAUGUAUUUCUUACAACAGAUUAAUUUAUAAUAGAAACCGUUAUACCUCAGAGAGCUAUCGAAUAUGUCAAAAAAUUAACGAUACAAUAAUUAUGUUGAAAAAUGGUAAUAACGGAGUGAUUACAAAUAUUUGUUGCUUUAAUAACGUGAACGGAAAAGAAGAAAUAAUUAUAUUUUAUCGAGAAAUCAAACACACCGGAAAGUUUUUUUCACUCUACUCAAAACGUAACUGUCCAUAACAUUUAUGAGUGCCAUAUAACUGAUAUUAUACGUGUAUGCAAACCAAAUUCAAUAAUACGACCAGCAAUAUUACAGAAGAUUGGGGAAUCAAAUUAUUUAAUAAAUAUACCGAAAGGGUGUGAUGGUGAUUAAAUAAUGUAUCUAAUAUCUAAAACUUUUUCAGUAGUAAAAAGAAUUGCUGCAAUGAAAAAAUACUGUAAAAAGAAAAGUACUAAUGAGAAUACUCAAAUAUUAUGAGUAUCCAUGAAAAAACGGACUAAUUAAUUAAUAAAAGUGUGAAAUUACAGAUAAGAAUAUACGUUUCAAUUACAAAAAUAUCAAGAAAUUAUAUUCUCUGAUAAAAAUUAUACUUCAACUCAAUUCGAAAACUUUCUGUUGUAAAAGGUUUAA